rnacentral:snRNA from 1 species
UCACUCUGGCUUCUCUUCAACGUAUGAUUCUUUCGCCUUUUACUAAAGAAUUCCGUGGAGAGGAGCAGUUCAAUGACUCUUGAUCAUUUUUCGAUAUCCGACUGUGGUCGGUUU